rnacentral:rRNA from 1 species
CCUACGGGAGGCAGCAGUGGGGAAUAUUGGACAAUGGGCGCAAGCCUGAUCCAGCCAUGCCGCGUGUGUGAAGAAGGCCUUCGGGUUGUAAAGCACUUUCAGUGGGGAAGAAAGCCUUGGGGCUAAUACCCUCGAGGAAGGACAUCACCCACAGAAGAAGCACCGGCUAACUCCGUGCCAGCAGCCGCGGUAAUACGGAGGGUGCGAGCGUUAAUCGGAAUUACUGGGCGUAAAGCGCGCGUAGGCGGUCUGAUAAGCCGGUUGUGAAAGCCCCGGGCUCAACCUGGGAACGGCAUCCGGAACUGUCAGGCUAGAGUGCAGGAGAGGAAGGUAGAAUUCCCGGUGUAGCGGUGAAAUGCGUAGAGAUCGGGAAGAAUACCAGUGGCGAAGGCGGCCUUCUGGACUGACACUGACGCUGAGGUGCGAAAGCGUGGGUAGCAAACAGGAUUAGAUACCCUGGUAGUC